GCGCGGUUAGUUCAGUGGUUAGAAUUCUUGCUUCCCAUACAAUUCGCUCUGUAUAACAAGCAAGGGACCCGAGUUCGAAUCUCGGAUCGCGCA